UACAGAGGAUGCAAGCGUUAUCCGGAAUGAUUGGGCGUAAAGCGUCUGUAGGUGGCUUUUUAAGUCUGCCGUCAAAUCCCAGGGCUUAACCCUGGACAGGCGGUGGAAACUACCAAGCUGGAGUACGGUAGGGGCAGAGGGAAUUCCCGGUGUAGCGGUGAAAUGCGUAGAGAUCGGGAGGAACACCAGAGGCGAAGGCGGCGACCUGGACAAGUACUGACACUCAACUACGAAAGCGUGGGGAGCAAACAGG
rnacentral:rRNA from 1 species